AGAAGCAGGCUGAGAAGAUGCAGCCCUCAAAGCACACACCCGAGAUGGGGAAGGGGAUCUGUGCAAGGAGGAUGUUUCCAGUGUGAGGUUCAGAGCCUGGGGGGACCUUCUCCUGCUAGCACUCUCAGUAAGUCUGUAGGUCAGCUGCUGGUUUUGGUGCAAUCACGGGAGGAGGGAGAUUGCUGCCUUUCACCACCGCUACCCUGAGCCAGCUCAUCCUUCUAGCUAUUUCUGUCUAUGCUUGUCUAUAGCAUCAUCCCCCCUUGUGCCUGUGUACCUGCCAAGCAUUCAAAACAGGCACUGCUGUGGCAGCCUUCUUCUUUCUCUCCAGCCUGAAGGAUAAAUGAUUGGAUUGCUUCUUUUUAAUUGUUUCUCUGCAUCAAGAAUUUACGGUGGGAAAGCUAAGCCAGAGAAAUGCUUUCAGGAAUGGGUGGCCAGGUUGGCAGAUCUUUGCUUGUUCUCAGCAUCUAGGGAGGUCCUGCAGCCUGGCCCUUGCUGGGCUCACUGGCUGCCCUGUGCAUCGGUGCUCUCUUUGAAAGCAAUGGUUUCCUGGAGUGAGAUGUGGUCUCAGGUCAAAACAGACAAAGCUUGGAUGCGAGAGAGAAGACCUGGAUCUGACUUGCCGGUAAGGGGACCCAGAACAGAAAGCUGAGUGCUUGGGUUGGCUGGAUUAACUGGGUCUCAUUCCGAGGGAACUUGACAGAUCUAUUUUGCUUUCGUUGAACCUCUCUACUGCACGUCAUAAAGAUUUCCAAGGUCCAGAAGCUGCACAAAAGACAACUGAGCAGCACAAAAAUGUGACUCUGACGAGAGACUCCAAGCCUUUUGAUGAGGAAUUUUCUACUGAUCAGUUUCUAAUUUAAAUAUUUAAGUGAAGCAUGCAUAGUAGUUAACCUGAUAGGGGGGAAAAGAGCCUUCUUAUUAAUUAGGACUGCCAAAA